GGCUCCGUAGUUCAAUUGGAUAGAACGUCUGACUACGGAUCAGAUGGUUGGGGGUUCAAAUCCCUCCGGAGUCA
rnacentral:tRNA from 1 species